GGCGUGGUGGUGGGCAUCUGUAGUACCAGCUACUUGGGAGGCUGGGGCAGGAGAAUCGCUUGAAGCCAGGAGGCGGAGGUUGCAGUGAGCCGAGAUCGCGCCCUUACACUCCAGCCCGGGCGACAGUGCGAGACUCCGUCUCAAAACAAAAAACAAAAAACAAACAAAAAAACCCCCAAAAAAUCAAAACCCCAGAAUGGUAGCUAUUUCAUGUGAGUGAGCAUGGGGAACCCCCGAUGUCUCUGGGUCAUGAAACCACAAGAAUGAAAGGGCUGGGAAGGCCCCCGGCAGCCCCCAUGUGCGUGAGUUAGGGCACCCAGCUCUUCCGGAAGGUAACUCAGGCUGUGAGAACCCAGGGAACAAGUCAGCAUCGGGGUGAACCAGAAGCCCCCUUGGAUCCAGAGUCAUUUUGGAACGUGAGCCCUGCCCUUUGCCAGGGAUGUAGAAGGAGUUCUGGGGUGUUUCGCGAGUGUGGUGUCGUCACACCCUGGGUGCUGGAUGGGCAUCCUCAUUGUCAGCUCGGCAGUGACCAGGCAGAUAGAGCCACACGUUCUCAUCAGGAACCUCUUCAUUGUCUUGGGCUGGGCUACAGGAUUCCUCACAGAGAAGUCAAGUCGCCAGUGGCUCUCUUUCCAGUGACUGCCCAUUUCUCCGUUCCAUACAUAUUUUCCAGACAUGGUGUGUGCACGGAUGGGCUGGAAGCUGCAGGACUUUCAGUCUGGUUUGUCCUGCAGCUAAAAGACCACAGACAUGUGGCAACUGGCCCCGUCCCCAACUCACUGCCUCGGAACCUGCAUUUCUGUCGGUUCUCCUGGCCGCUCACAUGCACGGUACAGCCUGAGGAGCCCUGUCUGGAGUGUGUUAUUGCAACCUGCCAAUCCUUAGUGCCAAGGAAGGGGCAAAUGUCACUUGCAAAGCUGCAAUUUUCUCUGCUUAUCUCUUUUUGAGGAUAAAAUAGGUGAAGGCCAUGGCAGCAGGGAGAAGGCUUAUGGUUUAUAGCUAAUUCACCCGGGGAAAGUAAAAGUGCAUUCUGUAAUUAAUCACAUCUCCAGUUUGCCCAUUAUCCUGAUCCUUCUCCUCAGAUUCCUCUAUAGCCCCUGGCCUGUCCAUUUUGUGGCUCCUUAACUACCAGGUCAGAGGUAGAUGAGAUGAAGAAGGGAGAUGAGAGGCAUUCAGAUCGACCCGUUUUAUUAUUUCCUUGGAGGCUCUUGGAGACUGCUUGAUGAGUGAAUGCUGAGAAUAAUGGGUGGAAUGCAUUAGCGGGUGGCUCGUGCCAUGAUUAAUCUGAUUCCUGUCCCAUUAAUGCUACUAAUUGGCUACCCCAAGAAGAAAAUGUCCCUCAGCUUCAGGGUGUGGGAAAGCGACGCUACCAUGUUGUUAGUAGCCGAGAUCAUUAACUGUUGCCUUUUUUAUUUGCCUUUUCUCGAACCAACCAGACCAACGACAUUGCUGUGAACACCUCUGUAGAAUUAGCUUCGGCUUGGGCUCUCGGAAUCAGCCGUUACUCCCCCAACAAUAAUCUUUUGGAAAUCCCCAAAGCCUCUGUAAUUAUGGAAUUUGACGAAGGCUCUGUUGUGGAUUUUGUUUCUUCUCUCUUCUCUCUCCCAUUCCUAUCCCUGUCAGUGCCCGGAAAAGCCGAAAGGAUCCAGGAAAACACUGCAGGAGAACACUGGUAAAGUGGUCCUCAGUGAGGGCAGCUCAGGAGCUUGGAGCAGGAGGGAGAGCUCCCCUGACUCAUCACAGCACAGGGCACUGGAACCCCAGGAACAGUGCUCAGUUCCUUCCACGGGAGCUCACGUGGAAAAUAAUCUCACCAUGCCAGCUGCAGUUCUCAGACCCUCUGAUCCAUAACCCAGCACGGCGGGGCGUGGUAGCCUCACAGUGUUUGUUUUAAAUUGUGCCAUCCUUGGAUUCCCCAUUUUGGUCUCCGUCCUCCUACUCUCUCCCUGCUUCAGACAGAGGUGUCAGACAAAAGGGCUCAACUUGGUAUCACUGGAAACCCGGCCAGUAGCUCAUCAGCUCGUCUUCCAGGCAGGUUGCUGCGAUCCUGGCAGGCCUGACGGUGAGGCCUGUGAGCUGGAAUGAGCUGCGCUGAGAAACUGACCUCUCCAGUGGGCAGGAUGGAGCCACCCAUUGAGGCUGAAGACUCGUGUGUGUUCUCAUGAUCCGAUGACCCAGGGAAAAAAUAAAACCAAAUCAAACCAACCAACCCUGUCUGCCAGGAGGACAGAAAGAAUGCCCCAAAUUUACUAUUUUACUUUUAUUUUUUGAGACAUGGUCUCGCUCUGUCACCCAGGCUGGAGGGCAGUGGCACCGUCAUGGCUCACUGCAGCCUCAACCUCCUGGGCUCAAGUGACCCUUUGCCUCAGUCCCCUGAGUAGCUGGGACUACAGGUGUGUGCCACCACACGCGGCUAAUUUUUUGUAUUUUUUGUACAGAUGGGAUUUUGUCUUGUUACCUAAGCUGGUCUUGAUCUCCUGGCUUCGAUCUGCCUGCCUCAGACUGCCAGAGUGCUGAGAUUACAGGUAUGAGCCACCGUGCCUGGUCAGAAUGUCCCAAAUUUAUUUAAGGAAAGAAUCAGUUUGGCAUUUUUUUAAAAAAUUGGUGCAGGAAAAUACACACGUUGGGUAUGACACCUUUAAAGCUGGAUAUUUUUCUCUGUCUUGUCUCAGGUGUCUUUCAGAUGUCCCUUUAUUGUCUAAACUUCUGACGACUUGUGCUCAGUGUCUGGCAAUCUUGAGAACUCUUCUCUGCGUGCAAAGUCGCAUAUUUUUAACACAAAGGAAAUGAGCAAUCUUUUGGGAUGCUUUUAUGGGUAUCUAAAAAGUCCAUUAUUUUGCCUGUUUUGAUGUCCUUAUCAGGAACACAAAGCAGAAACAACUUCCUAAACAAAUCUCAGCUACUUGAGACGUCGUAUGUUCUAUCUUUUCACACUUCUUUUUUGUUAGCUACAUUAUAUCUUAUAGCAAAUUCAUUUCUUGGCCCUUUGUUCACAGAGCAAUGCAGAACAUCUUAGUCCCUGUGAUAAUAAUAGUAAUUAUCAGUUAUGCAGAGCCUUGCCUCGCCAAAGCCCUUGGCAAUCAUCAAUUAGCUAAUUCAAACAGCAUCCCUGUGAGAGGACUGCUCUUGAGAAUAUUAUAAUGCACAACCAUUAUGUGCUGACCUUUGACUUUGCUGUGAGAAGGACCAGGUUGACGGCUGAAUUUAAAGGCUGGUAUAAUUUCCAUUCAUCCUAGUGGAUGCUUCAGUGAGUGCAUCUUUUCAAGUUAAAUAUAGUUAAUAAAUACACAUUUUGAAGUGGUUUAUAUACAUUUCUGUGCCUUCGUAACCAAACAGGUCUUAUUUCUCCUGCAUCAAUGCACACUUUGUCUUACCCAUUUUACGUUGCAAAUGUAUAUUCCAGGAACAUUUCCUAAGUGCCUAUUUUGAGCCAGCACAAUGCUGGCCUAGGACCUCUGAAUACAAAUAUAGGAGAAACACAAUUCUGUUUUCAAGAAAUUCACGCGCUAGUUUUGAGACGCAUAGACCAAUGGUCAUAAUACAACCUAUGCGAUCCACACAAAAGUUAAGUAAAAAGCGCAGUGGGGACUCUGGGGUGUGAUCAGUAGGACAUCACAUGUUCACGUCAAGAGGGUGGGUCGUGUUCACUGUGCCCUCUGAUGCCACCAGAAGGCAACAGAAGUAAAUAACACAUCAAAACUCAGAGGCCCAAUAGAGCAGGGCUUAUAUGAGAAUUUUACGCAUUAGAAACAAAUAUGAGAACAGAAAAAAGUUGAAAGUUAAUGAGUGAAGUGCACACCUUCAGAUGUAAGAAAAAGAGCAAGACCCAACC
rnacentral:lncRNA from 10 species